GACGGAGGAUGCAAGUGUUAUCCGGAAUCACUGGGCGUAAAGCGUCUGUAGGUGGUUUAAAAAGUCCACUGUUAAAGAUUGAAGCUUAACUUCAAAAAUGCCGUGGAAACUUUUAAACUUGAGUAUGAUAGGGGUAGAGGGAAUUUCCAGUGGAGCGGUGAAAUGCGUAGAUAUUGGAAAGACCACCAAUGGCGAAGGCACUCUACUGGGCCAUACUGACACUGAGAGACGAAAGCUAGGGGAGCAAAUGGG
rnacentral:rRNA from 1 species